UAGCUGUGGGAUGGGCGCUACAGUAUAAGGCCAAGAAAUGUUUUUAAAUGAAAGAAAGAAUCAUUUCAUGGAGUGAAGUCAGGAAUGCCUUCCAAAGUGUGUAGGUUUUGCAGCCCAUUAGAAUUGCAAAGCAGUCCUCAUUUGAAAGAAGAGUGAAAUAAAGUUCUAUUUGAAAAAAUAAGUCAAUAUUUACACAACGUUAAGCGUGUUAAGGGUGAGUUGCAGUCACCCACAUUAAAGAGGACCAUUGUGCUAGAAGAAUGUGUUUCCGUGUUCUAUAGAAGAUGGCUAUUCACGUCUCUGCCUUCUAAUUGGCUGCAGUGCUUCCCAAACCCUUUGCCAUGCUCCUGUCACUACCACAAGCUCCACACUUCACAGGCAAGGAGAAAAAACACAGAUGACAAUAGGAAUGUUAAAACAUCCGUCUUAGUGGGAAAUGCACAUCAGAAUGAACGUGGAAAUAAAAGGUUCUAAAA